rnacentral:tRNA from 1 species
GGGUCCUUAGCUCAGCGGUAGAGCAGUCGCCUCUUAAGCGAUUGGUCGCGAGUUCGAAUCUCGCAGGGCCCA